GACGAACGCGGCGGCGUGCCUAAUACAUGCAAGUAGAACGCUGAAGAGAGGAGCUUGCUCUUCUGGAUGAGUUGCGAACGGGUGAGUAACGCGUAGGUAACCUGCCUUGUAGCGGGGGAUAACUAUUGGAAACGAUAGCUAAUACCGCAUAACAAUGAGUGACACAUGUCAUUUAUUUGAAAGGGGCAAUUGCUCCACUACAAGAUGGACCUGCGUUGUAUUAGCUAGUAGGUGAGGUAACGGCUCACCUAGGCGACGAUACAUAGCCGACCUGAGAGGGUGAUCGGCCACACUGGGACUGAGACACGGCCCAGACUCCUACGGGAGGCGGCAGUAGGGAAUCUUCGGCAAUGGGGGCAACCCUGACCGAGCAACGCCGCGUGAGUGAAGAAGGUUUUCGGAUCGUAAAGCUCUGUUGUAAGUCAAGAACGAGUGUGAGAGUGGAAAGUUCACACUGUGACGGUAGCUUACCAGAAAGGGACGGCUAACUACGUGCCAGCAGCCGCGGUAAUACGUAGGUCCCGAGCGUUGUCCGGAUUUAUUGGGCGUAAAGCGAGCGCAGGCGGUUUGAUAAGUCUGAAGUUAAAGGCUGUGGCUCAACCAUAGUUCGCUUUGGAAACUGUCAAACUUGAGUGCAGAAGGGGAGAGUGGAAUUCCAUGUGUAGCGGUGAAAUGCGUAGAUAUAUGGAGGAACACCGGUGGCGAAAGCGGCUCUCUGGUCUGUAACUGACGCUGAGGCUCGAAAGCGUGGGGAGCGAACAGG
rnacentral:rRNA from 1 species